rnacentral:tRNA from 1 species
AAUAAAAUGGCUGAGUUUAAGCAAUAAAUUGUAAAUUUAUUUACGAGAAAUAUUCUCUUUUAUUA